AUUUAAAAGAAGAGAACUUGUGCGAAAUAAUUAAAAAUAAGUUAACCAGAGAAUUCUGUAAAUAUAAGAAAUAAGACUUAGCAAUAUUAUGUUUUCUCAAUAUAAUAGUAUAUUAAGCAUAACAUAAGCAAUUAAGACAUGUAAGUAGGAAUAAUAGUAAGAAAUUAAAAUAGCUUCUAUAUGUAAAAUUAGUUAAAUUUCUCCUAAGAAGUAAAAAUAGUAU
rnacentral:misc_RNA from 1 species